UACAGAGGUGGCAAGCGUUGUUCGGAAUUACUGGGCGUAAAGCGUGCGCAGGCGGCUUUGCAAGACAGAUGUGAAAUCCCCGGGCCUAACCUGGGAACUGCAUUUGUGACUGCAUGGCUGGAGUGCGGCAGAGGGGGAUGGAAUUCCGCGUGUAGCAGUGAAAUGCGUAGAUAUGCGGAGGAACACCGAUGGCGAAGGCGGCGACCUGGGUAGAUACUGACGCUGAGGCGCGAAAGCGUGGGGAGCAAACAGG
rnacentral:rRNA from 1 species